rnacentral:rRNA from 1 species
GGAGGAAAAGAAACUAACAAGGAUUCCCCUAGUAACGGCGAGUGAAGCGGGAUGAGCUCAAAUUUAAAAUCUGGCGGCCUCAGGUCGUCCGAGUUGUAGUCUAGAGAAUCGUUUUCCGCGUUGGCCUGUGUACAAGUCCCUUGGAACAGGGCGUCAUAGAGGGUGAGAAUCCCGUCCUUGACACAGACUACCAAUGCUUUGUGAUGCGAUCUCGAAGAGUCGAGUUGUUUGGGAAUGCAGCUCAAAAUGGGUGGUAAAUUCCAUCUAAAGCUAAAUAUUGGCGAGAGACCGAUAGCGAACAAGUACCGUGAGGGAAAGAUGAAAAGCACUUUGGAAAGAGAGUUAAACAGUACGUGAAAUUGUUAAAAGGGAAACGAUUGAAGUCAGUCAUGCUUUCCGAGACUCAGCCGAUUCUGUCGGUGUACUUCUCGGUUGGCAGGCCAGCAUCAGUUUCGAUCUGUGGAAAAGGUUGGAGGGAACGUGGCAUCCUCGGAUGUGUUAUAGCCCUUCUUCGAAUACAUAGAGCGGGACUGAGGAACGCAGCGCGCCUUUUAUUAGGUUGGCCCUCGGGUACAUACGCGCUUAGGAUGCUGGCAUAAUGGCUUUAAACGACCCGUC